AUUGAACGCUGGCGGCAGGCCUAACACAUGCAAGUCGAGCGGAUGAAGGGAGCUUGCUCCUGGAUUCAGCGGCGGACGGGUGAGUAAUGCCUAGGAAUCUGCCUGGUAGUGGGGGAUAACGUCCGGAAACGGGCGCUAAUACCGCAUACGUCCUGAGGGAGAAAGUGGGGGAUCUUCGGACCUCACGCUAUCAGAUGAGCCUAGGUCGGAUUAGCUAGUUGGUGGGGUAAAGGCCUACCAAGGCGACGAUCCGUAACUGGUCUGAGAGGAUGGUCAGUCACACUGGAACUGAGACACGGUCCAGACUCCUACGGGAGGCAGCAGUGGGGAAUAUUGGACAAUGGGCGAAAGCCUGAUCCAGCCAUGCCGCGUGUGUGAAGAAGGUCUUCGGAUUGUAAAGCACUUUAAGUUGGGAGGAAGGGCAGUAAGUUAAUACCUUGCUGUUUUGACGUUACCAACAGAAUAAGCAUCGGCUAACUUCGUG
rnacentral:rRNA from 1 species